AAUAAUCGAAAACCCUCGUGAGAGCGUGGGUAGCUUCUCAAGUUUUAAGGACCAAUACUCAUUAGUGUCUCGAGAGGGAGAUGGCGAACCGGCCAUCAAACUUGGUGAGCUGAGUAUUUUGMGGGAAGUUACAGUCCAUAAUACAAGCGCUCACACGUGAACGAUCUGUCCUYCUAUGUAAGAAAGGACGAGGCACUGGUGCAAGGCGUCAUUGGUUCUUCGUUUUCUGAAAGUCAUUCUUGCUUGCAUAACUUGUUUAAACCGGUUUGACUCAAAGGUCCUUUGAAGGCGGAGCAGGAAAGAUUUUGUCGCACAUUUAGAAAGAAAGGUGUAAAGGUGUAGAAAUUCCAACGUACAAAUUGUAAACAUAAGGAAUUGAGAAGGUCUAUUGAUUCGACGAAACUAGUUUUUUCCUUAGAAUAAAGUUUCUUGGCGUAACUGUG